rnacentral:rRNA from 1 species
CAGCCGUAAACUAUGCGCGUUAGGUGUAUCGGUGACCACGAGUCACCGAGGUGCCGAAGGGAAACCGUGAAACGUGCCGCCUGGGAAGUACGGUCGCAAGGCUGAAACUUAAAGGAAUUGGCGGGGGAGCACCACAACAGGUGGAGCCUGCGGUUUAAUUGGACUCAACGCCGUGAAGCUCACCGGAUAGGACAGCAGAAUGAUUGCCGGGCUGAAGACCCUGCAUGACUAGCUGAGAGGAGGUGCAUGGCGUCAGUGACU